rnacentral:tRNA from 1 species
GGGGACUUAGCUCAGUGGUAGAGCACUUGCCUAGCAAGCGCAAGGCCCUGGAUUCAGUCCCCA